rnacentral:rRNA from 1 species
CCCUUAGAUGUUCUGGGCCGCACGCGCGCUACACUGAUGCAUUCAACGAGCCUAUCCUUGACCGACAGGUCCGGGUAAUCUUUGAAUCUGCAUCGUGACGGGGAUAGAUUAUUGCAAUUAUUAAUCUUCAACGAGGAAUGCCUAGUAGGCACAAGCCAUCAGCUUGCGUCGAUUACGUCCCUGCCCUUUGUACACACCGCCCGUCGCUCCUACCGAUUGGGUGUGCUGGUGAAAUGUUCGGAUCGGCCGUUUGUCGCGGUUUCCGCGUCAUGUGGCUGAGAAGUUCAUUAAACCCUCCCACCUAGAGGAAGGAGAAGUCGUAACA